rnacentral:rRNA from 1 species
CGUCGGUUGUGAAAGCCCGGGGCUUAACCCCGGGUCUGCAGUCGAUACGGGCAGGCUAGAGUUCGGUAGGGGAGAUCGGAAUUCCUGGUGUAGCGGUGAAAUGCGCAGAUAUCAGGAGGAACACCGGUGGCGAAGGCGGAUCUCUGGGCCGAUACUGACGCUGAGGAGCGAAAGCGUGGGGAGCGAACAGGAUUAGAUACCCUGGUAGUCCACGCCGUAAACGGUGGGCACUAGGUGUGGGCGACAUUCCACGUCGUCCGUGCCGCAGCUAACGCAUUAAGUGCCCCGCCUGGGGAGUACGGCCGCAAGGCUAAAACUCAAAGGAAUUGACGGGGGCCCGCACAAGCGGCGGAGCAUGUGGCUUAAUUCGACGCAACGCGAAGAACCUUACCAAGGCUUGACAUACACCGGAAA